GAUUGUUGGUGACAAAGACAAUCUUAGAGAAGAGACUUGAAUCUCUUUCAUGCAUGAUAGAGAUUCUCAUCUGUCUUUUGUUUGAAAUUUGGGAUCUCACUCCACAACCU
rfam:Capsicum annuum cultivar Zunla-1 chromosome 12, whole genome shotgun sequence